AUUGAACGCUGGCGGCAUGCCUUACACAUGCAAGUCGAACGGUAACGCGGGGCAACCUGGCGACGAGUGGCGAACGGGUGAGCAAUGCAUCGGAACGUGCCCAGUAGUGGGGGAUAGCCCGGCGAAAGCCGGAUUAAUACCGCAUACGACCUACGGGUGAAAGCGGGGGACCGUAAGGCCUCGCCCUCUUGGAGCGGUCGAUGUCAGAUUAGGUUGUUGGGGGGGUAAAAGCCUACCAAGCCGACGAUCGGUAACUGGUCUGAGAGGACGACCAGCCACACUGGGACUGAGACACGGCCCAGACUCCUACGGGAGGCAGCAGUGGGGAAUUUUGGACAAUGGGGGCAACCCUGAUCCAGCCAUGCCGCGUGCGGGAAGAAGGCCUUCGGGUUGUAAACCGCUUUUGUCAGGGAAGAAACGCUCUGGGCUAAUACCCCGGGGUAAUGACGGUACCUGAAGAAUAAGCACCGGCUAACUACGUGCCAGCCGCCGCGGUAACAC
rnacentral:rRNA from 1 species